rnacentral:lncRNA from 10 species
AAUAUACUGAGAGUACAUUUGGAUUAGUUCCGUGAAAAAGUUGGUUCAAAUCAUUCAGCCUGGCAUUACUGGAAAUCUCUAACAAGAUUUACAGCGGUGCCACCCCAAUGAAUUCCACCACACUGAAUUCAUUGUUCAUUGAGAGAGAUUAGAAAAUGAAGAUACCAUGCCCCUUGGCUUCCCUGCUAAAGGAGACACUGGGAAAGGAGAGGAAUCUGACACUUUGGGGGUGCGACCCAGCAAUCUGCACUCUGUCAAACUCGUGAGGUGAUGCCCAUGCAUGCACAACUUGGAGCACAUCGUCUGACCUCAGGUAAUCACGGUGAUCCCAGCUGCAUUCAUUUCUUGGGGCUGCCAGAACAAACUACCGCAGACGGAACGGCUUCAGAAGAAAUAUGUAUUCUUUCCCAGUUGUGGAGGCCGGAAGUCUGAGAUCAAGAUGUUGGCAGAACUGGUUUCUUGUGAGACUGAGGGAAGGAUCUGUUCCAGGCUUCUCUUCUUGGCUUGUAGAUGGCCAUCUUAUCCCGGUGUCUCUUCUCAUUGUCUUCCUUUAAGUGUGCCUGGGUCCAGGUUUUUCCAUUUCAUAAGGACACGGUCACAAUAGAUUAGUGCCUACAUUCAUGAUUUUUUUCUUAACUAAUUACAUCCACAACAAUCUAUUUCUAAAUAAGGUCACACUGGGGGUUAGGACUUCACUGCAACUUUGAGGGGACACAUUUCAACCCAUAAUGCCAUCCCAUGCCAGUGGGAAGCUUAAGGACCAGGCAAAUGCUUAGCAGAGCGUGGCUUUCCCUGAGUCUACGGUUCUUGGCUGGGCAAGUGACUUAGCUACUUAGCUUGCACCUGGCAGGUGUUGACUAAAGGCAUGCUCACUUUUCCCUCUGCACGUGAAGGAAUAAAAACAAUACUGGGAAUUCUACAACUUGUUUGGUAUGUAGUGGUGAGUCUGACAUUGUGUGGAGCAAGGCUGGAAGUCACCAAAACCUGACUCUUUAAAAAUCUCUAAGUUCCUGGACCAGUAGUUUUCAAACCGCUCAUGCCCUCUGGACUUGCGAUUAAUGCCCUAAGAGUCUCUAUUUUAUACAACAGCUUGAGCUGGGGUCUUAGGAAUCUGCCACUGAAAUUUGCUGCACACACUUAUAUAGAUAUAGGUAUUUUUGAACUUGUAUCAUGCCAACAUAUUCUUUUUUAGCUUGAUUUUAUUUUUUAUUUAGCAAUAUAUUAUAUGCUGAGACCAGCUCGGUCGGGGAGACCCUAACCCAGUGGCGCUAGAGGAAUUAAAGACGCAUACACAGAAAUAUAGAAGUGUGAAGUGGGAAAUCAUGG